UACAGAGGGGGCGAGCGUUGUUCGGAAUUACUGGGCGUAAAGGGCGCGUAGGCGGCCUUCUAAGUCGAACGUGAAAUCCCCGGGCUCAACCCGGGAACUGCGUCCGAUACUGGGAGGCUUGAAUCCGGGAGAGGGAUGUGGAAUUCCAGGUGUAGCGGUGAAAUGCGUAGAUAUCUGGAGGAACACCGGUGGCGAAGGCGGGUCUCUGGGCCGAUACUGACGCUGAGGAGCGAAAGCGUGGGGAGCGAACAGG
rnacentral:rRNA from 1 species